rnacentral:tRNA from 1 species
CGGGGAUUAGCGCAGUCUGGCAGCGCGCCUGGUUUGGGACCAGGAGGUCGCCGGUUCGAAUCCGGCAUCCCCGACCA